rnacentral:rRNA from 1 species
UACAGAGGUGGCAAGCGUUGUUCGGAAUUACUGGGCGUAAAGGGCGCGUAGGCGGCCUUCUAAGUCAGACGUGAAAUCCCCAGGCUUAACUUGGGAACUGCGUCUGAUACUGGGAGGCUUGAGUGCGGGAGAGGGAUGUGGAAUUCCAGGUGUAGCGGUGAAAUGCGUAGAUAUCGGGAGGAACACCGGUGGCGAAGGCGGCCCCCUGGUUGGAUACUGACGCUGAGACGCGAAAGCGUGGGGAGCAAACAGG